rnacentral:tRNA from 1 species
GAACAUAGAUCAAGUUAAUUUGUUUAAGAUUUCGGCUCUUAAUGAAGUGAUAAAAUUCACUUAUGUUUU